rnacentral:rRNA from 1 species
UACGUAGGGUGCGAGCGUUAAUCGGAAUUACUGGGCGUAAAGCGUACGCAGGCGGCUAUGUAAGACAGGUGUGAAAUCCCCGGGCCUAACCUGGGAACUGCAUUUGUGACUGCAUAGCUAGAGUCCGUCAGAGGGGGGUGGAAUUCCACGUGUAGCAGUGAAAUGCGUAGAGAUGUGGAGGAACACCGAUGGCGAAGGCAGCCCCCUGGGAUGAGACUGACGCUCAUGUACGAAAGCGUGGGGAGCAAACAGG